rnacentral:rRNA from 1 species
UACGAAGGGGGGCUAGCGUUGCUCGGAAUGACUGGGCGUAAAGGGCGCGUAGGCGGCUUGCACCGUCAGAUGUGAAAUUCCUGGGCUUAACCUGGGGGCUGCAUUUGAUACGUGUGGGCUUGAGUGCGGAAGAGGGUCGUGGAAUUCCCAGUGUAGAGGUGAAAUUCGUAGAUAUUGGGAAGAACACCAGUGGCGAAGGCGGCUCACUGGCCCGGUACUGACGCUGAGGUGCGAAAGCGUGGGGAGCAAACAGG